GGCAGUCAGAGGCGAUGAAGGGCGUACUAAUCUGCGAUAAGCGCCGGUAAGGUGAUAUGAACCGUUAUAACCGGCGAUACCCGAAUGGGGAAACCCAGUGUGAUUCGUCACACUAUCAUUAACUGAAUCCAUAGGUUAAUGAGGCGAACCGGGGGAACUGAAACAUCUAAGUACCCCGAGGAAAAGAAAUCAACCGAGAUUCCCCCAGUAGCGGCGAGCGAACGGGGAGGAGCCCAGAGCCUGAAUCAGCAUGUGUGUUAGUGGAAGCGUCUGGAAAGGCGCGCGAUACAGGGUGACAGCCCCGUACACAAAAGCGCAUGUGCUGUGAGCUCGAUGAGUAGGGCGGGACACGUGGUAUCCUGUCUGAAUAUGGGGGGACCAUCCUCCAAGGCUAAAUACUCCUGACUGACCGAUAGUGAACCAGUACCGUGAGGGAAAGGCGAAAAGAACCCCGGCGAGGGGAGUGAAAAAGAACCUGAAACCGUGUACGUACAAGCAGUGGGAGCACCCUUUGGGUGUGACUGCGUACCUUUUGUAUAAUGGGUCAGCGACUUAUAUUCUGUAGCAAGGUUAACCGAAUAGGGGAGCCGGAGGGAAACCGAGUCUUAACCGGGCGUUAAGUUGCAGGGUAUAGACCCGAAACCCGGUGAUCUAGCCAUGGGCAGGUUGAAGGUUGGGUAACACUAACUGGAGGACCGAACCGACUAAUGUUGAAAAAUUAGCGGAUGACCUGUGGCUGGGGGUGAAAGGCCAAUCAAACCGGGAGAUAGCUGGUUCUCCCCGAAAGCUAUUUAGGUAGCGCCUCGUGAAUUCAUCUCCGGGGGUAGAGCACUGUUUCGGCUAGGGGGCCAUCCCGGCUUACCAACCCGAUGCAAACUGCGAAUACCGGAGAAUGUUAUCACGGGAGACACACGGCGGGUGCUAACGUCCGUCGUGAAGAGGGAAACAACCCAGACCGCCAGCUAAGGUCCCAAAGUCAUGGUUAAGUGGGAAACGAUGUGGGAAGGCCCAGACAGCCAGGAUGUUGGCUUAGAAGCAGCCAUCAUUUAAAGAAAGCGUAAUAGCUCACUGGUCGAGUCGGCCUGCGCGGAAGAUGUAACGGGGCUAAACCAUGCACCGAAGCUGCGGCAGCGACACUGUGUGUUGUUGGGUAGGGGAGCGUUCUGUAAGCCUGUGAAGGUGUGUCGUGAGGCAUGCUGGAGGUAUCAGAAGUGCGAAUGCUGACAUAAGUAACGAUAAAGCGGGUGAAAAGCCCGCUCGCCGGAAGACCAAGGGUUCCUGUCCAACGUUAAUCGGGGCAGGGUGAGUCGACCCCUAAGGCGAGGCCGAAAGGCGUAGUCGAUGGGAAACGGGUUAAUAUUCCCGUACUUGGUGUUACUGCGAAGGGGGGACGGAGAAGGCUAUGUUGGCCGGGCGACGGUUGUCCCGGUUUAAGCGUGUAGGUGUGUGUUCCAGGUAAAUCCGGUUCACUUUAACACUGAGGCGUGACGACGAGGCACUACGGUGCUGAAGCAACAAAUGCCCUGCUUCCAGGAAAAGCCUCUAAGCAUCAGGUAACAUCAAAUCGUACCCCAAACCGACACAGGUGGUCAGGUAGAGAAUACCAAGGCGCUUGAGAGAACUCGGGUGAAGGAACUAGGCAAAAUGGUGCCGUAACUUCGGGAGAAGGCACGCUGACACGUAGGUGAAGUGAUUUACUCAUGGAGCUGAAGUCAGUCGAAGAUACCAGCUGGCUGCAACUGUUUAUUAAAAACACAGCACUGUGCAAACACGAAAGUGGACGUAUACGGUGUGACGCCUGCCCGGUGCCGGAAGGUUAAUUGAUGGGGUCAGCGCAAGCGAAGCUCCUGAUCGAAGCCCCGGUAAACGGCGGCCGUAACUAUAACGGUCCUAAGGUAGCGAAAUUCCUUGUCGGGUAAGUUCCGACCUGCACGAAUGGCGUAAUGAUGGCCAGGCUGUCUCCACCCGAGACUCAGUGAAAUUGAACUCGCUGUGAAGAUGCAGUGUACCCGCGGCAAGACGGAAAGACCCCGUGAACCUUUACUAUAGCUUGACACUGAACAUUGAGCCUUGAUGUGUAGGAUAGGUGGGAGGCUUUGAAGUGUGGACGCCAGUCUGCAUGGAGCCGACCUUGAAAUACCACCCUUUAAUGUUUGAUGUUCUAACGUGGACCCGUUACCCGGGUUGCGGACAGUGUCUGGUGGGUAGUUUGACUGGGGCGGUCUCCUCCUAAAGAGUAACGGAGGAGCACGAAGGUUGGCUAAUCCUGGUCGGACAUCAGGAGGUUAGUGCAAUGGCAUAAGCCAGCUUGACUGCGAGCGUGACGGCGCGAGCAGGUGCGAAAGCAGGUCAUAGUGAUCCGGUGGUUCUGAAUGGAAGGGCCAUCGCUCAACGGAUAAAAGGUACUCCGGGGAUAACAGGCUGAUACCGCCCAAGAGUUCAUAUCGACGGCGGUGUUUGGCACCUCGAUGUCGGCUCAUCACAUCCUGGGGCUGAAGUAGGUCCCAAGGGUAUGGCUGUUCGCCAUUUAAAGUGGUACGCGAGCUGGGUUUAGAACGUCGUGAGACAGUUCGGUCCCUAUCUGCCGUGGGCGCUGGAGAACUGAGGGGGGCUGCUCCUAGUACGAGAGGACCGGAGUGGACGCAUCACUGGUGUUCGGGUUGUCAUGCCAAUGGCACUGCCCGGUAGCUAAAUGCGGAAGAGAUAAGUGCUGAAAGCAUCUAAGCACGAAACUUGCCCCGA
rnacentral:rRNA from 1 species